AACAAAUCAGGUUGAUUUCCAGAGUUUGAAGAGUCAGAUGCUGUUGUCUUGGGCAUCUGAGCAGCUGAUGACCCUUGUUGCUGAGGAGGAAUCCUCUGUCUCUCAUUCCUCGGAGACAGAUUCUGCAGCCUCUACCUGAAACAGACUUCCUUAAGGAGCAAAGAUGUCUAGUGGCUGGAAAAUGGAUGGUGCUUCAGAAGUACUUGUUGAUUAAUUAAUUAACAUCUCAUUCAACAUCUCUACUUAUAAUCACCUCUGAGCCAUAAGACAGGAAACAGGCUUCAUCAUUAGUCUUCUAAAAUACAAUUUGUCAUUGCAUUGUUCAAUGUUCUAAAGUCAUGUUUUUUUUUUUAAUAUUAUAGUGGUCAUCAUAGAAAUUGUUCUUUUAGUUUUGCUUAUUUCACUCCAUAUCAGUUCAUACAUGUCUUUACAUGUUUUUCCUUAUUCAUAUUUCACAGAAUUAUAGGUUUAGAACCACAAAGGACUUGUGAGGCCAUUGAUUCUAAGCCCUGACUUUUUAUAGGUGAGGAAACUGAAGUUUAGAAGGGUCAAAUAACUUGCCCAGAGUUACACAAGUUUAAGACAGGAUUUGAAAUGACUCCAAGUUAAACACUGUGUUACCUCCUGCCCCACCUACCUGCCUCAGUUGUGAUUUCUUAUGAACAUAGUAAUGUUAUA